GCAGACACAUUCCAGCCAAUCAGCAGCAGACCCUCCCUCCCAGAUCCUCCCACCUCCUGGACAGCAUCCAUUGUGAAGCUGAAUUCAUAGUGAACUGUCCAGGAAGUGGGAGGGUGUGGGAGGGAGGGUCUGCUGCUGAUUGGCUGGAAUGUGUCUG